GGGCGUAAAGAGCUCGUAGGCGGUUUGUCGCGUCUGCUGUGAAAUCCCGAGGCUCAACCUCGGGCCUGCAGUGGGUACGGGCAAACUAGAGUGUGGUAGGGGAGAUUGGAACUCCUGGUGUAGCGGUGGAAUGCGCAGAUAUCAGGAAGAACACCGAUGGCGAAGGCAGAUCUCUGGGCCAUUACUGACGCUGAGGAGCGAAAGCGUGGGGAGCGAACAGGAUUAGAUACCCUGGUAGUCCACGCCGUAAACGUUGGGAACUAGAUGUAGGGUCCAUUCCACGGAUUCUGUGUCGCAGCUAACGCAUUAAGUUCCCCGCCUGGGGAGUACGGCCGCAAGGCUAAAACUCAAAGGAAUUGACGGGGGCCCGCACAAGCGGCGGAGCAUGCGGAUUAAUUCGAUGCAACGCGAAGAACCUUACCAAGGCUUGACAUAUACCGGAAAAGCGUAGAAAUACGCUCCCCGCAAGGUCGGUAUACAGGUGGUGCAUGGUUGUCGUCAGCUCGUGUCGUGAGAUGUUGGGUUAAGUCCCGCAACGAGCGCAACCCUCGUCCUAUGUUGCCAGCACGUAAUGGUGGGAACUCAUGGGAGACUGCCGGGGUCAACUCGGAGGAAGGUAAU
rnacentral:rRNA from 1 species